rnacentral:ncRNA from 1 species
CUUAUAAAGAGUAGUGGAGGGACUGGCCCAGUGAUACUACAGCAACCUAUUAGAUUAGGUGCUAAAGCCGCAUGAUAAGGAGCUG